rnacentral:pre_miRNA from 1 species
UUCUUGCCCACCUGGAUGUGGAUCUUAGUCAUAGUGAAAGCACAUAUGACUAGAGACACAUUCAGCUGGGCGAAAGC